UUCUUCUUAAAAUUCUCAUUUUUCUCCAGAAUCUUCAGCUACUCGGAGCUACGGCCAUUGAGGACAAAUUACAAGAUCAAGUGCCCGAAACCAUAGAAACGCUGAUGAAAGCAGACAUCAAAAUCUGGAUUCUCACGGGGGACAAGCAAGAGACUGCCAUCAACAUCGGGCACUCCUGCAAACUUUUGAAGAAGAACAUGGGAAUGAUUGUCAUAAAUGAAGGUUCUCUUGAUGUAAGUAAAAUUAUGCCUUUAUUU